CCUACGGGAGGCUGCAGUGGGGAAUAUUGGACAAUGGGGGGAACCCUGAUCCAGCCAUGCCGCGUGUGUGAAGAAGGCCCUCGGGUUGUAAGGCACUUUCAGUGAGGAAGAACGCCUGGUGGUUAAUACCCAUCAGGAAAGACAUCACUCACAGAAGAAGCACCGGCUAACUCCGUGCCAGCAGCCGCGGUAAUACGGAGGGUGCGAGCGUUAAUCGGAAUUACUGGGCGUAAAGCGCGCGUAGGUGGCUUGAUAAGCCGGUUGUGAAAGCCCCGGGCUCAACCUGGGAACGGCAUCCGGAACUGUCAAGCUAGAGUGCAGGAGAGGAAGGUAGAAUUCCCGGUGUAGCGGUGAAAUGCGUAGAGAUCGGGAGGAAUACCAGUGGCGAAGGCGGCCUUCUGGACUGACACUGACACUGAGGUGCGAAAGCGUGGGUAGCAAACAGGAUUAGAUACCCCUGUAGUC
rnacentral:rRNA from 1 species